UGUGUGUGUGUGAUAUAUCGACUCAUUCCCGUGAUGAAGAGCCAGACACACAGAGGACGAGCGCUCCUUCCUCACCGCUGAGAAAUCACUCAAACGUUCAACUGUCGUCGCUCCGCCGCCCUCAAACGCCUUCUGAACUGAGACACGCGCGCAUCACAUGAUCAUGACAUCAGCUGGCUGACUUAUGAUGUCACACGUCUGCAAUCAUCUCAGCAACUGAUAUCUGAAUGACACAGUGAUGGAGGAUCUGAUGGCGAACCUCACCGUGGGGAAUCCGGUUGUCAUGGAGAUGCCAGUGUCUCUGACAUCAUCAGAUGAGAUCAUCCGUCACUCUAACUGUCUGCGUUUCUAUAGCAACAGCUCAUAUUAUGGGCUGAGUUCCCAUGAUGCACCUGGACUUAUUCACUCAGUACUAGGGGUCACUAGGGGAGGGGUCGUGUUUAGCUGAAGGCUCCGAGACCGACAUAUGGCUGAGCCAAUCAGAGCCCAGAGCUGAUCACAAGCCACGCCUUCCCUCCCUGAGGAACACAGAAGAAACAGCUGGAAAAGAACAUCUGCUAAUGACGUGAGAUACACACACUCUUCACUGAUCGAAACACUGAUGACGUGAGAUACACACACUCUUCACUGAUCGAAACACUGAUGAUGUGAGAUACACACACUCUUCACUGAUCGAAACACUGAUGAUGUGAGAUACACACACUCUUCUGAACUGAGUCGUUUGCUCUGGAGGAACACACACCCGUCUCUCCCGAGCCUGAUGGGAUAUACACAACAAGCCAUUAAUCAAAUCAAAGGAGAGCCGCAGAACUGGCAGACACACAGUUUUUCCUAGAACCCGACGGGAUGUUUCCAAGAACGGAUGCUGACGGGCUCCAGACUCAGAGCU